CUCUCUUUUGGUUCUUUAAUAGCUUUAGACUUUAGUAUACACACAAGGAGAUUGAAGGUGGUGGAUGACACUCAAAUGCCAAGGAAAUAGCGGAAAUUAGGAAGCUUAAACAACCUUCGCAUUCAACGUAUACUUGCUCUGUCUUUUGUUCAUAAAAUGCUAUGUUUUCUGUUUCGGUUCAAU